ACUCAAAUGAAUAGACGGGGGCCCGCACAAGCGGCGGAGCAUGCGGAUUAAUUCGAUGCGACGCGAAGAACCUUACCUGGGUUUGACAUCACUCGAAAACUCGCAGAGAUGCGGGGUCCUUCGGGGCGGGUGACAGGUGGUGCAUGGCUGUCGUCAGCUCGUGUCGUGAGAUGUUGGGUUAAGUCCCGCAACGAGCGCAACCCUCGUUCCAUGUUGCCAGCGGUUCGGCCGGGGACUCAUGGGAGACUGCCGGGGUCAACUCGGAGGAAGGUGGGGAUGACGUCAAGUCAUCAUGCCCCUUAUGUCCAGGGCUUCACGCAUGCUACAAUGGCCGGUACAGUGAGCUGCGAUGCCGUAAGGUGGAGCGAAUCUCUAAAAGCCGGUCUCAGUUCGGAUCGGGGUCUGCAACUCGGCCCCGUGAAGUCGGAGUCGCUAGUAAUCGCAGAUCAGCAUUGCUGCGGUGAAUACGUUCCCGGGCCUUGCACACACCGCCCGU
rnacentral:rRNA from 1 species